UUCUACCUCUGAGUCUGAGACUGAAGAAGACUUAGAGGAUUCACCAAGAAAAGAACCCAGCAAAAAAGGAAAAAAAAGCGAACAAUCAUCACCAGUGAAGAAGCAAAAAACAAAGAAAAAGACACAGAGAACACCAAAAAA